GAUGAAGAACGUAGCGAAAUGCGAUAAGUAAUGUGAAUUGCAGAAUUCAGAGAAUCAUCGAAUCUUUGAACGCACAUUGCGCCCAUUAGUAUUCUAGUGGGCAUGCCUGUUCGAGCGUCAUUAAGUCCACUUAAGCCCUGCUUAGUGUUGGGAGACUGCUCCAGCGGUGCUACCCUGUAGCUACCCUGCAGCUCCUCAAAGACAGCGGCGGAGUUGUGGUAUCCUCUGAGCUUAGUAACUUGUUCUAGCUUUCGAGUACACCACUUCCCCUGCCGUAAAACCCUUAAUUUUUAAUGGUUGACCUCGGAUCAGGUAGGAAUACCCGCUGAACUUAAGCAUAUCAAUAAGCGGAGGA
rnacentral:misc_RNA from 1 species